rnacentral:lncRNA from 1 species
CAACUCGAGCUCAACAUCUGGAUGGUGGGCGUCCAAAUGUUUUGCCAAUGAGAGCUGUGCCUUCACUGGACAUUCCUUUUACAUUUUUAGUCUGCAUCGUGCUACCCAUUGUUCUAGAUUGACAUGUUCAUAUACAAGGCUCUGAGCAGAGUUUGAUUGUACAGGAGCAUGAGAAGGGCAAGCUGGAUGAGGAGAGGAAAAAGGUCAUUGACCGCACAAAGGCGAUCAUCGAACAAGCAGAAAAGACGAGGAACUCUGCAGUUGCAGGUGAUUCCUUCUCUACGGUACUGUCGCCAGCGUGCAGGGAGCGCGAAUGACUCUUGGCUCACUGAAAAACUCUGCUUGGCUGAUGCUGUUGUGCCGCCUGCAGGCCGUGCAACUGGUGCAUACGCGAAUGGGCAGCCAGAUGAUGCUCCAGCAGAAGAGGAAAAGGAAGGGGAAGGCGAAGAUGCGCAGGCUGAUGAUGGAGCUGAUGAGGCAAUGACUGAUGCCCCUGAACCAAACGAGGGGCAUGGGCAGCAGGCAGCGGAGCAGGGUCCCAGUCAUGACCUUGACGACC